rnacentral:rRNA from 1 species
GGAAUAUUGGACAAUGGGGGUAACCUUGAUCCAGCAAUCCCGCGUGAGUGAUGAAGGCCUUAGGGUCGUAAAGCUCUUUCAGCAGGGAAGAAGUUCUGACGGUACCUGCAGAAGAAGCACCGGCUAACUCCGUGCCAGCAGCCGCGGUAAUACGGAGGGGGCAAGCGUUGUUCGGAAUCAUUGGGCGUAAAGCGCGUGUAGGCGGCCCAGUAAGUCUGAUGUGAAAGCCCGGGGCUUAACCCCGGAAGUGCAUUGGAUACUGCUUGGCUAGAGGGCGAGAGGGGGAAGCGGAAUUCCUGGUGUAGGGGUGAAAUCCGUAGAUAUCAGGAGGAACAUCAGUGGCGAAGGCGGCUUCCUGGCUCGCACCUGACGCUGAGACGCGAAAGCGUGGGGAGCAAAC